rnacentral:tmRNA from 1 species
GGGGCCGUCUUAGAUUCGACAGAUAUAUUUGAGCUUUAACUGCAAGUCGAAAGGUGAUUGCGUCAAAUCCCAAAUAAAAAUAACUGGAAACAGAAAUCAAUUAGCUUUCGCUUAGUAUAAUUAGGAAGCACUUCAUUAGAUAUUUUCCUGCGAUGUCUAUAUGAGGUUCAUUUAGUAGGAUAUAUUAUUAUGAUGUCUAUAAGUAAUAAUGAAUAAUAUAGGCUUACUGUUAAAUUGUUUGUUAAUUAACUUAUUUAACAGGAAAUUUAUUAAUUAACUAAACUUGUAGAUGUUAUUGUGUUAAUAUAUUUGGACAUGGGUGCGAUUCCCAUCGGCUCCACCA